GACGAACGCUGGCGGCGUGCUUAACACAUGCAAGUCGAACGGAAAGGCCUGCUUUCCCUUGUGGUUUGCGGGUACUCGGGUGGCGAACGGGUGAGUAACACGUGAGUGAUCUGCCCCCAACUUGGGUAUAAGCCUGGGAACCUGGGUCUAAUUCCCGGUAGGACUGCAGGGUGGUGCCUGUGGUGGAAAACGUUUUUCUAGUGGUUGGGGAUGAGCUCGCGGCCUAUCAGCUUGUUGGUGGGGUAAUGGCCUACCAAGGCGGGGACGGGUAGCCAGCGUGUGAGGGGGGACAGCGACACUGGGACUGAGACCAGGCCCAUACGCGAGGGAGAAGUAGGAAUGGUGAAGAUAGGGGCAAGGGCGGGAGGCUGCAACAGCGACGGAGUGAGGAAGGUGUCCGGAUUGGAAAUGUAAGCUCCUAUCGAAGGAGAAAAGGGUAAGUAGUUAGGCGGGUCGUGACGGUACCGGUAGAAAAAGCCCCGGCUAACUACGUG
rnacentral:rRNA from 1 species